rnacentral:rRNA from 1 species
UACAGAGGGUGCGAGCGUUGUUCGGAAUUAUUGGGCGUAAAGAGCGCGUAGGCGGUCUGCUAAGUCUGGUGUGAAAGCCCUCAGCUUAACUGGGGAAGUGCAUUGGAUACUGGCAGGCUUGAGUGUGAGAGAGGAUCGUGGAAUUCCUGGUGUAGCGGUGAAAUGCGUAGAUAUCAGGAGGAACACCGGUGGCGAAGGCGGCGAUCUGGAUCAUAACUGACGCUGAGGCGCGAAAGCGUGGGUAGCAAAC